ACACAUGCAAGUCGAGGGGCAGCAUUUUAGUUUGCUUGCAAACUAAAGAUGGCGACCGGCGCACGGGAUGAGUAACAUGUAUCCAACCUGCCGCAUAACUCGGGGCAUAGCCUUUCGCAAAGAAAGAUUAGUAUCCGAUAGUAUAUUAAAACCGCAUGGUUUUUACUAUUAAAAGAAUUUCGGUUAUCGAUGGGGAUGCGUUCCAUUAGUUUGUUGGCGGGGUAACGGCCCACCAAGACUACGAUGGAUAAGGGGUUCUGAGAGGAAGGUCCCCCACAUUGGAACUGAGACACGGUCCAAACUCCUACGGGAGGCAGCAGUGAGGAAUAUUGGUCAAUGGACGAGAGUCUGAACCAGCCAAGUAGCGUGAAGGAUGACUGCCCUAUGGGUUGUAAACUUCUUUUAUAUGGGAAUAAAGUAUUCCACGUGUGGGAUUUUGUAUGUACCAUAUGAAUAAGGAUCGGCUAACUCCGUGCCAGCAGCCGCGGUAAUACGGAGGAUCCGAGCGUUAUCCGGAUUUAUUGGGUUUAAAGGGAGCGUAGGUGGAUUGUUAAGUCAGUUGUGAAAGUUUGCGGCUCAACCGUAAAAUUGCAGUUGAAACUGGCAGUCUUGAGUACAGUAGAGGUGGGCGGAAUUCGUGGUGUAGCGGUGAAAUGCUUAGAUAUCACGAAGAACUCCGAUUGCGAAGGCAGCUCA
rnacentral:rRNA from 1 species